rnacentral:rRNA from 1 species
GAUGCACUCUAGCUACAGGCUUAACACAUGCAAGUCGAGGGGCAUCAGGAAGAAAGCUUGCUUUCUUUGCUGGCGACCGGCGCACGGGUGAGUAACACGUAUCCAACCUGCCCUUUACUCGGGGAUAGCCUUUCGAAAGAAAGAUUAAUACCCGAUAGCAUAAUGAUUCCGCAUGGUUUCAUUAUUAAAGGAUUCCGGUAAAGGAUGGGGAUGCGUUCCAUUAGGUUGUUGGUGAGGUAACGGCCCACCAAGCCUUCGAUGGAUAGGGGUUCUGAGAGGAAGGUCCCCCACAUUGGAACUGAGACACGGUCCAAACUCCUACGGGAGGCAGCAGUGAGGAAUAUUGGUCAAUGGGCGCUAGCCUGAACCAGCCAAGUAGCGUGAAGGAUGAAGGCUCUAUGGGUCGUAAACUUCUUUUAUAUAAGAAUAAAGUGCAGUAUGUAUACUGUUUUGUAUGUAUUAUAUGAAUAAGGAUCGGCUAACUCCGUGCCAGCAGCCGCGGUAAUACGGAGGAUCCGAGCGUUAUCCGGAUUUAUUGGGUUUAAAGGGAGCGUAGGUGGACUGGUAAGUCAGUUGUGAAAGUUUGCGGCUCAACCGUAAAAUUGCAGUUGAUACUGUCAGUCUUGAGUACAGUAGAGGUGGGCGGAAUUCGUGGUGUAGCGGUGAAAUGCUUAGAUAUCACGAAGAACUCCGAUUGCGAAGGCAGCUCACUGGACUGCAACUGACACUGAUGCUCGAAAGUGUGGGUAUCAAACAGGAUUAGAUACCCUGGUAGUCCACACAGUAAACGAUGAAUACUCGCUGUUUGCGAUAUACAGUAAGCGGCCAAGCGAAAGCAUUAAGUAUUCCACCUGGGGAGUACGCCGGCAACGGUGAAACUCAAAGGAAUUGACGGGGGCCCGCACAAGCGGAGGAACAUGUGGUUUAAUUCGAUGAUACGCGAGGAACCUUACCCGGGCUUAAAUUGCAGUGGAAUGAUGUGGAAACAUGUCAGUGAGCAAUCACCGCUGUGAAGGUGCUGCAUGGUUGUCGUCAGCUCGUGCCGUGAGGUGUCGACUUAAGUGCCAUAACGAGCGCAACCCUUAUCUUUAGUUACUAACAGGUUAUGCUGAGGACUCUAGAGAGACUGCCGUCGUAAGAUGUGAGGAAGGUGGGGAUGACGUCAAAUCAGCACGGCCCUUACGUCCGGGGCUACACACGUGUUACAAUGGGGGGUACAGAAGGCAGCUAGCGGGUGACCGUAUGCUAAUCCCAAAAUCCUCUCUCAGUUCGGAUCGAAGUCUGCAACCCGACUUCGUGAAGCUGGAUUCGCUAGUAAUCGCGCAUCAGCCACGGCGCGGUGAAUACGUUCCCGGGCCUUGUACACACCGCCCGUCAAGCCAUGGGAGCCGGGGGUACCUGAAGUACGUAACCACAAGGAUCGUCCUAGGGUAAAACUGGUGACUGGGGCUAA